rnacentral:ncRNA from 1 species
UCACACCAUGGGAGUGGGUUGCUCCAGAAGUAGAUAGCCUAACCUUCGGGGGGGCGUUUACCACGGAGUGAUUCAUGACUGGGGUGAAGUCGUAACAAGGUAGCCCUAGGGGAACCUGGGGCUGGAUCACCUCCUUA